GGGCCCGCACAAGCGGUGGAGCAUGUGGUUUAAUUCGAUGAUACGCGAGGAACCUUACCAGGGCUUAAAUGUAGUUUGACCGGUCUGGAAACAGACUUUCUCUUCGGAGCAGAUUACAAGGUGCUGCAUGGUUGUCGUCAGCUCGUGCCGUGAGGUGUUAGGUUAAGUCCUGCAACGAGCGCAACCCCUAUUCUUAGUUGCCAGCGGUUCGGCCGGGGACUCUAAGAAGACUGCCAGCGCAAGCUGAGAGGAAGGUGGGGAUGACGUCAAAUCAUCACGGCCCUUACGUCCUGGGCUACACACGUGCUACAAUGGUAGAGACAGAGGGCAGCCACCUGGUGACAGGGAGCGAAUCCUUAAACUCUAUCUCAGUUCGGAUCGAAGUCUGCAACUCGACUUCGUGAAGCUGGAAUCGCUAGUAAUCG
rnacentral:rRNA from 1 species